rnacentral:rRNA from 1 species
GUACACUCCUGCGGGAGGCAGCAGUGGGGAAUUUUGGCCAAUGGGCGAAAGCCUGAUCCAGCAAUGCCGCGUGAGUGAAGAAGGCCUUCGGGUUGUAAAGCUCUUUUGUCAGGGAAGAAACGGUGAGAGCUAAUAUCUCUUGCUAAUGACGGUACCUGAAGAAUAAGCACCGGCUAACUACGUGCCAGCAGCCGCGGUAAUACGUAGGGUGCAAGCGUUAAUUGGAAUUACUGGGCGUAAAGCGUGCGCAGGCGGUUUUGUAAGUCUGAUGUGAAAUCCCCGGGCUCAACCUGGGAAUUGCAUUGGAGACUGCAAGGCUAGAAUCUGGCAGAGGGGGGUAUAAUUCCACGUGUAGCGGUGAAAUGCGUAGAUAUGUGGAGGAACACCGAUGGCGAAGGCAGCCCCCUGGGUCAAGAUUGACGCUCAUGCACGAAAGCGUGGGGAGCAAACAGGAUUAGAAACCCCGUGUAGUCCCAUGAU